GGGUCUUGCGUUGGGUGUGGGAAUUGAGUAUUCAGCCCCUCGAGAGAGGUUUUUGGUGCAUUUGCUCAUAGUACCUGCUGACUGUCCCCGAAAGGGGCGUUGGAAUGCUACGACGCGAUACCGCCCGUCUUGAAACACGGACCAAGGAGUCUAGCGUAUGAGCGAGUCAAAGGGGCAAGUGUAUACCCUACGGCGCAGUGAAAGCGAAUUGUGACCCGGUAAAAUGGAGCAAUUUGAGGCGGCUGUGAUUCUUCGGAUGAUCGGUCCGACCUAGAGCUAAUACGCUAGUACCCGAAAGAUGGUGAUCUAUGCCUGGGUGGGACGAAGCCAGGGGAAACCCUGGUGGAAGUUCGAAGCGUUGCUGACGUGCAAAUCGUUCGCCGAACCCGGGUAUAGGGACUAAAGAUCAAUCGAACCAUCUAGUAGCUGGUUCCCUCCGAAGUUUCUCUCAGGAUAGCUGGCCGACGUUGACCCCGAAAGAUGGUGAGUUGUUGUGGGCGGUAGAGCGAAUGAUUAGCAUGUUGGGGGAGUAACCCUUCCCCGGAUGAUUCUCAAACUCUAAAUGCCCACGCUGUGAGCCUGGGGGCAUUCUUUGCCCCAGUUUAUUUAAAACGUCGGCCGUGUGGGCCACUUUUGGUAAGCAGAACUGGCGAUGCGGGUUGAACCGUACGUGCGUCUAAGGCGCCCAAAUGCCCGCUAAGAGACCCCAAGAAAGGUGUUAAUCCAUCGAGACAGCAGGACGGUGGCCAUGGAAGUUGGAAUCCGCUAAGGAGUGUGUAACAACUCACCUGCCGAAUGGGUUUGCCCUGAAAAUGGAUGGCGCUCAAGCGUGGCUGCCGA
rnacentral:rRNA from 1 species